rnacentral:ncRNA from 1 species
UUUUAUCACUGCGUAGCCUAUACGCGGGAGCGGGGUGUUGACAAGGCAGAGGGGGGCGUCGGACAGACCGAUGGGGGCGCACGCAUCCAGGGGCGCACGGCGCAUCCAGGGGCGCACGGUCCAACGUUACUUGGAUAAUACCCCGGGGUGCCCCCCUGGGCGCCCCGCAUGGCCGCUUUGGUGACUCUAGGUACUUUCUGUGGCUACCACGGUGACCACGGGUAACGGGGAAUCAGGGUUCGAUUCCAGGGAGAGAGCCUGAGAAACUAGCUACCACAUUCAAGGAAGGCAGGAGGUGCGCAAAUUACCCACUCCCGACUCGGGGAGGUAGUGACGAAAAAUAACAAUACAGGACUCUUUCGAGGCCCUGUAAUUGGAUUGAGUACACUUUAAAUCCUUUAACGAGGAUCAAUUGGAGGGCAAGUCUGGUGCCAGCAGCCGCGGUAAUUCCAGCUCCAAUA